AUCGAUGAAGAACGCAGCGAAAUGCGAUAAGUAAUGUGAAUUGCAGAAUUCAGUGAAUCAUCGAAUCUUUGAACGCACCUUGCGCUCCUUGGUAUUCCGAGGAGCAUGCCUGUUUGAGUGUCUUGAAGUCAUCAACCCCUCCCGUUUCGUGCGUGGAAGGGUUGGAUGUGGGGGCUCUGCUGCCGUGAGGCGGCUCCCCUCAAAUGCAUCGGUUGGGCCUGUGGGUCGAACUCGACUGGGCGUUGUACCAUCCUCGCUCGACAGAGACGUUCCCCUCCUGCGCCCUCCCCCGACCUGCCUAUCAGAGCGGCGGUCAAGCAACAAACUUUGAAAUCUGACCUCAAAUCAGGUAGGACUACCCGCUGAACUUAAGCAUAUCAAUAAGCGGAGGAAAAGAAACUAACAAGGAUUCCCCUAGUAACUGCGAGUGAAGCGGGAAAAGCUCAAAUUUGAAAUCUGGCGGCUCCGUCGCCCGAGUUGUAUUCUGGAGAAGCGUCUUCCGCGUCGGACCGUGUACAAGUGCCUUGGAACAGGACGUCAUAGAGGGUGAGAAUCCCGUCUUUGACACGGACGCCCGAUGCUCUGUGAUGCGCUCUCGAAGAGUCGAGUUGUUUGGGAAUGCAGCUCAAAACGGGUGGUAAAUUCCAUCUAAAGCUAAAUAUUGGCGAGAGACCGAUAGCGAACAAGUACCGUGAGGGAAAGAUGAAAAGCACUUUGGAAAGAGAGUAAAACAGUACGUGAAAUUGUUGAAAGGGAAACGCUUGAAGUCAGUCGCGUCUGCCGGAACUCAGCCUUGCUUCUGCUUGGUGCACUUUCCGGCCUGACGGGCCAGCAUCGGUUUCGAGCGGCGGACAAUGGCGAGGGGAAGGUGGCAGCUCCGGCUGUGUUAUAGCCCCUCGUCGCAAACGCCGCACGGGACCGAGGAAUCCGGCGCAAGCCUGGGAUGCUGGCGUAAUGGCUUUAAACGACCCGUCUUGAAACACGG
rnacentral:rRNA from 1 species